rnacentral:rRNA from 1 species
UACGUAGGGUGCAAGCGUUGUCCGGAAUUAUUGGGCGUAAAGAGCUCGUAGGCGGUUUGUCGCGUCUGCUGUGAAAACUCGGGGCUCAACUCCGAGCUUGCAGUCGAUACGGGCAGGCUAGAGUUUGGUAGGGGAGACUGGAAUUCCUGGUGUAGCGGUGAAAUGCGCAGAUAUCAGGAGGAACACCGGUGGCGAAGGCGGCGACCUGGACAGAUACUGACACUAAACUACGAAAGCAUGGGGAGCAAACAGG